rnacentral:tRNA from 1 species
GGACAGAUGGCUGAGUGGUCGAAAGCGCCCGCCUGCUAAGUGGGUAAGGGGCGAUAGCCCCUUCAUGGGUUCGAAUCCCAUUCUGUCCGCCA